CCUACGGGCGGCAGCAGUGGGGAAUAUUGGACAAUGGGGGGAACCCUGAUCCAGCCAUGCCGCGUGUGUGAAGAAGGCCCUCGGGUUGUAAAGCACUUUCAGUGAGGAAGAACGCCUGGUGGUUAAUACCCAUCAGGAAAGACAUCACUCACAGAAGAAGCACCGGCUAACUCCGUGCCAGCAGCCGCGGUAAUACGGAGGGUGCGAGCGUUAAUCGGAAUUACUGGGCGUAAAGCGCGCGUAGGUGGCUUGAUAAGCCGGUUGUGAAAGCCCCGGGCUCAACCUGGGAACGGCAUCCGGAACUGUCAAGCUAGAGUGCAGGAGAGGAAGGUAGAAUUCCCGGUGUAGCGGUGAAAUGCGUAGAGAUCGGGAGGAAUACCUGUGGCGAAGGCGGCCUUCUGGACUGACACUGACACUGAGGUGCGAAAGCGUGGGUAGCAAACAGGAUUAGAUACCCUUGUAGUC
rnacentral:rRNA from 1 species